rnacentral:rRNA from 1 species
ACGGCUCAGUAACACGUGGAUAACCUGCCCUUGGGUCCGGCAUAACCCCGGGAAACUGGGGAUAAUUCCGGAUAACGCAUAUGUGCUGGAAUGCUUUAUGCGUCAAAUGGAUUCGUCCGCCCAAGGAUGGGUCUGCGGCCUAUCAGGUAGUAGUGGGUGUAAUGUACCUACUAGCCAGCGACGGGUACGGGUUGUGAGAGCAAGAGCCCGGAGAUGGAUUCUGAGACAUGAAUCCAGGCCCUACGGGGCGCAGCAGGCGCGAAAACUUUACAAUGCGGGAAACCGUGAUAAGGGGACACCGAGUGUCAGCAUCAUAUGCUGGCUGUCCAGGUGUGUAAAAUACACCUGUUAGCAAGGGCCGGGCAAGACCGGUGCCAGCCGCCGCGGUAACACCGGCGGCCCGAGUGGUGAUCGUGAUUAUUGGGUCUAAAGGGUCCGUAGCCGGUUUGGUCAGUCCUCCGGGAAAUCUGAUAGCUCAACUAUUAGGCUAUCGGGGGAUACUACCAGGCUUGGAACCGGGAGAGGUAAGAGGUACUACAGGGGUAGGAGUGAAAUCUUGUAAUCCCUGUGGGACCACCUGUGGCGAAGGCGUCUUACCAGAACGGGUUCGACGGUGAGGGACGAAAGCUGGGGGCACGAACCGGAUUAGAUACCCGGGUAGUCCCAGCCGUAAACGAUGCUCGCUAGGUGUCAGGCAUGGCGCGACCGUGUCUGGUGCCGCAGGGAAGCCGUGAAGCGAGCCACCUGGGAAGUACGGCCGCAAGGCUGAAACUUAAAGGAAUUGGCGGGGGAGA